rnacentral:rRNA from 1 species
UAGCCGACCUGAGAGGGUGAUCGGCCACACUGGAACUGAGACACGGUCCAGACUCCUACGGGAGGCAGCAGUAGGGAAUCUUCCGCAAUGGGCGAAAGCCUGACGGAGCAACGCCGCGUGAGUGAUGAAGGUCUUCGGAUCGUAAAACUCUGUUAUUAGGGAAGAACAUAUGUGUAAGUAACUGUGCACAUCUUGACGGUACCUAAUCAGAAAGCCACGGCUAACUACGUGCCAGCAGCCGCGGUAAUACGUAGGUGGCAAGCGUUAUCCGGAAUUAUUGGGCGUAAAGCGCGCGUAGGCGGUUUUUUAAGUCUGAUGUGAAAGCCCACGGCUCAACCGUGGAGGGUCAUUGGAAACUGGAAAACUUGAGUGCAGAAGAGGAAAGUGGAAUUCCAUGUGUAGCGGUGAAAUGCGCAGAGAUAUGGAGGAACACCAGUGGCGAAGGCGACUUUCUGGUCUGUAACUGACGCUGAUGUGCGAAAGCGUGGGGAUCAAACAGGAUUAGAUACCCUGGUAGUCCACGCCGUAAACGAUGAGUGCUAAGUGUUAGGGGGUUUCCGCCCCUUAGUGCUGCAGCUAACGCAUUAAGCACUCCGCCUGGGGAGUACGACCGCAAGGUUGAAACUCAAAGGAAUUGACGGGGACCCGCACAAGCGGUGGAGCAUGUGGUUUAAUUCG